rnacentral:rRNA from 1 species
ACGGAGCUUAGAGAGCUUGCUUUUUAAGCUUAGUGGCGAACGGGUGAGUAACGCGUGAGUAACCUGCCCUAGAGUGGGGGACAACAGUUGGAAACGACUGCUAAUACCGCAUAAGCCCACGGUGCCGCAUGACACUGAGGGAAAAGGAUUUAUCCGCUUUAGGAUGGACUCGCGUCCAAUUAGCUAGUUGGUGAGGUAACGGCCCACCAAGGCGACGAUUGGUAGCCGGACUGAGAGGUUGAACGGCCACAUUGGGACUGAGACACGGCCCAGACUCCUACGGGAGGCAGCAGUGGGGGAUAUUGCACAAUGGGGGAAACCCUGAUGCAGCGACGCCGCGUGGAGGAAGAAGGUUUUCGGAUUGUAAACUCCUGUCGUUAGGGACGAUAAUGACGGUACCUAACAAGAAAGCACCGGCUAACUACGUGCCAGCAGCCGCGGUAAA